rnacentral:rRNA from 1 species
GAUGAACGCUGGCGGCGUGCCUAAUACAUGCAGGUCGAGCGAACAGAUGAGGAGCUUGCUCCUCUGACGUUAGCGGCGGACGGGUGAGUAACACGUGGAUAACCUACCUAUAAGACUGGGAUAACUACGGGAAACCGGAGCUAAUACCGGAUAAUAUAUUGAACCGCAUGGUUCAAUAGUGAAAGACGGUUUUGCUGUCACUUAUAGAUGGAUCCGCGCCGCAUUAGCUAGUUGGUAAGGUAACGGCUUACCAAGGCAACGAUGCGUAGCCGACCUGAGAGGGUGAUCGGCCACACUGGAACUGAGACACGGUCCAGACUCCUACGGGAGGCAGCAGUAGGGAAUCUUCCGCAAUGGGCGAAAGCCUGACGGAGCAACGCCGCGUGAGUGAUGAAGGUCUUCGGAUCGUAAAACUCUGUUAUUAGGGAAGAACAAAUGUGUAAGUAACUAUGCACGUCUUGACGGUACCUAAUCAGAAAGCCACGGCUAACUACGUG